rnacentral:rRNA from 1 species
GUUAUAUGGUCAAGUGAAGAAGCGCAUACGGUGGAUGCCUUGGCAGUCAGAGGCGAUGAAAGACGUGGUAGCCUGCGAAAAGCUUCGGGGAGUCGGCAAACAGACUUUGAUCCGGAGAUCUCUGAAUGGGGGAACCCACCUAGGAUAACCUAGGUAUCUUGUACUGAAUCCAUAGGUGCAAGAGGCGAACCAGGGGAACUGAAACAUCUAAGUACCCUGAGGAAAAGAAAUCAACCGAGAUUCCCUUAGUAGUGGCGAGCGAACGGGGAUUAGCCCUUAAGCUUCAUUGAUUUUAGCGGAACGCUCUGGAAAGUGCGGCCAUAGUGGGUGAUAGCCCCGUACGCGAAAGGAUCUUUGAAGUGAAAUCGAGUAGGACGGAGCACGAGAAACUUUGUCUGAACAUGGGGGGACCAUCCUCCAAGGCUAAAUACUACUGACUGACCGAUAGUGAACCAGUACCGUGAGGGAAAGGCGAAAAGAACCCCGGAGAGGGGAGUGAAAUAGAACCUGAAACCGUAUGCGUACAAGCAGUGGGAGCCUACUUGUUAGGUGACUGCGUACCUUUUGUAUAAUGGGUCAGCGACUUAUAUUCAGUGGCAAGCUUAACCGUAUAGGGUAGGCGUAGCGAAAGCGAGUCUUAAUAGGGCGUUUAGUCGCUGGGUAUAGACCCGAAACCGGGCGAUCUAUCCAUGAGCAGGUUGAAGGUUAGGUAACACUGACUGGAGGACCGAACCCACUCCCGUUGAAAAGGUAGGGGAUGACUUGUGGAUCGGAGUGAAAGGCUAAUCAAGCUCGGAGAUAGCUGGUUCUCCUCGAAAGCUAUUUAGGUAGCGCCUCAUGUAUCACUCUGGGGGGUAGAGCACUGUUUCGGCUAGGGGGUCAUCCCGACUUACCAAACCGAUGCAAACUCCGAAUACCCAGAAGUGCCGAGCAUGGGAGACACACGGCGGGUGCUAACGUCCGUCGUGAAAAGGGAAACAACCCAGACCGCCAGCUAAGGUCCCAAAGUUGUGGUUAAGUGGUAAACGAUGUGGGAAGGCUUAGACAGCUAGGAGGUUGGCUUAGAAGCAGCCACCCUUUAAAGAAAGCGUAAUAGCUCACUAGUCGAGUCGGCCUGCGCGGAAGAUGUAACGGGGCUCAAACCACACACCGAAGCUGCGGGUGUCACGUAAGUGACGCGGUAGAGGAGCGUUCUGUAAGCCUGUGAAGGUGAGUUGAGAAGCUUGCUGGAGGUAUCAGAAGUGCGAAUGCUGACAUGAGUAACGACAAUGGGUGUGAAAAACACCCACGCCGAAAGACCAAGGGUUCCUGCGCAACGUUAAUCGACGCAGGGUUAGUCGGUUCCUAAGGCGAGGCUGAAAAGCGUAGUCGAUGGGAAACAGGUUAAUAUUCCUGUACUUCUGGUUACUGCGCGAUGGAGGGACGGAGAAGGCUAGGCCAGCUUGGCGUUGGUUGUCCAAGUUUAAGGUGGUAGGCUGAAAUCUUAGGUAAAUCCGGGGUUUCAAGGCCGAGAGCUGAUGACGAGUCGUCUUUUAGAUGACGAAGUGGUUGAUGCCAUGCUUCCAAGAAAAGCUUCUAAGCUUCAGGUAACCAGGAACCGUACCCCAAACCGACACAGGUGGUCGGGUAGAGAAUACCAAGGCGCUUGAGAGAACUCGGGUGAAGGAACUAGGCAAAAUGGCACCGUAACUUCGGGAGAAGGUGCGCCGGCUAGGGUGAAGGAUUUACUCCGUAAGCUCUGGCUGGUCGAAGAUACCAGGCCGCUGCGACUGUUUAUUAAAAACACAGCACUCUGCAAACACGAAAGUGGACGUAUAGGGUGUGACGCCUGCCCGGUGCCGGAAGGUUAAUUGAUGGGGUUAGCGCAAGCGAAGCUCUUGAUCGAAGCCCCGGUAAACGGCGGCCGUAACUAUAACGGUCCUAAGGUAGCGAAAUUCCUUGUCGGGUAAGUUCCGACCUGCACGAAUGGCGUAACGAUGGCGGCGCUGUCUCCACCCGAGACUCAGUGAAAUUGAAAUCGCUGUGAAGAUGCAGUGUAUCCGCGGCUAGACGGAAAGACCCCGUGAACCUUUACUGUAGCUUUGCACUGGACUUUGAGCCUGCUUGUGUAGGAUAGGUGGGAGGCUUUGAAGCGUGGACGCCAGUUCGCGUGGAGCCAUCCUUGAAAUACCACCCUGGCAUGCUUGAGGUUCUAACUCUGGUCCGUAAUCCGGAUCGAGGACAGUGUAUGGUGGGCAGUUUGACUGGGGCGGUCUCCUCCUAAAGAGUAACGGAGGAGUACGAAGGUGCGCUCAGACCGGUCGGAAAUCGGUCGCAGAGUAUAAAGGCAAAAGCGCGCUUGACUGCGAGACAGACACGUCGAGCAGGUACGAAAGUAGGUCUUAGUGAUCCGGUGGUUCUGUAUGGAAGGGCCAUCGCUCAACGGAUAAAAGGUACUCCGGGGAUAACAGGCUGAUACCGCCCAAGAGUUCAUAUCGACGGCGGUGUUUGGCACCUCGAUGUCGGCUCAUCACAUCCUGGGGCUGAAGCCGGUCCCAAGGGUAUGGCUGUUCGCCAUUUAAAGUGGUACGCGAGCUGGGUUUAGAACGUCGUGAGACAGUUCGGUCCCUAUCUGCCGUGGACGUUUGAGAUUUGAGAGGGGCUGCUCCUAGUACGAGAGGACCGGAGUGGACGAACCUCUGGUGUUCCGGUUGUCACGCCAGUGGCAUUGCCGGGUAGCUAUGUUCGGAAAAGAUAACCGCUGAAAGCAUCUAAGCGGGAAACUUGCCUCAAGAUGAGAUCUCACUGGGAACUUGAUUCCCCUGAAGGGCCGUCGAAGACUACGACGUUGAUAGGCUGGGUGUGUAAGCGUUGUGAGGCGUUGAGCUAACCAGUACUAAUUGCCCGUGAGGCUUGACCAUAUAACACCCAAACA